GAUGGUAAAUUUCUUCAUCUCCAGCCUAAAAUUCCUACUCCAUUUUUUUCAUUCACAACUUUUUUAUACUUUGUGCAUUCACAGCAAUAAGCAUCAGCACUUCAAUUUCUUCUUCAUAUAACUGGUAGGUAUUAGACAUGGCUGCACUCUACAAGCUUAUCCCAUAGAUUUCAACUUUAGAAAGCAACUGGUAUGUAAAAGUUAUUGUUGCAAGAAAGCAAGCGUCUCGAACUGCUCGCAAUUCUACUGGAUGGUACCAAAACCUUCUUCUAAUGGAUUUAGAGGCAUUACACUUUCAACUAAAACGAACAGCAAUGUGUUCAUUGAUGCUGGAAUCAUAGCAGUAACAAACUACAAAGAAUGGUUCUAAAACAAUGCCAAAAAACUUGCUUACUUUUCCCACCUACAUAAAAGAAAUUGUUCCAAAACUAAGUUGUAUAAUUACUUCUCUUUUUUUUCC